rnacentral:rRNA from 1 species
GACGAGGGGUCCAAGCGUUUGUUCGGAAUUAUUGGGCGUAAAGCGGGUGUAGGUGGCUCUAUAAGUCAGGAGUGAAAUCCCCGGGCUUAACCUGGGAACUGCGCUUGUUACUGGCAAGCUGGAGUGUGGCAGAGGGGGGUGGAAUUCCACGUGUAGCAGUGAAAUGCGUAGAGAUGUGGAGGAACACCGAUGGCGAAGGCAGCCCCCUGGGCUAACACUGACGCCUCAUGCACGAAAGCGUGGGGAGCAAACAGGAUUAGAUACCCGGGG